rnacentral:rRNA from 1 species
UACGGAGGGGGCUAGCGUUGUUCGGAAUUACUGGGCGUAAAGCGCACGUAGGCGGCUCUUUAAGUCGGGGGUGAAAUCCUGGAGCUCAACUCCAGAACUGCCUUCGAUACUGUAGAGCUUGAGUUCGGGAGAGGUGAGUGGAACUGCGAGUGUAGAGGUGAAAUUCGUAGAUAUUCGCAAGAACACCAGUGGCGAAGGCGGCUCACUGGUCCGGUUCUGACGCUGAGGCGCGAAAGCGUGGGGAGCAAACAGG